ACUUAUAAUAGCUGAUCAGAACAUAAAAAUUAAAAAGUGAAACAUUCAUUUAUAUCUGUCAAAGAUAUUACAAGCACAUGCAAACCUUCAGAAGGUUCUAUGAGAAGAGGAAAUUUUCAUAUGUAACAGGUAAUAAAACAUUGGUGCAUGUCUAGUCCGUCCCUCUUUUUUCAAGUGAAAAAAUCCCCACGUUGAUGCUUUAUUCUCCAUAUUCAAGCGAGAAAGGAGAAAGUUAUCAACAAGGUCAGAUCCACUUUAUGAAGAAGGGAACUAAAAAUUCUGUUUUACCCGUUAUAGAAGAUAGCACCUCCCACUACAAAAUUAUAAACUAGUUAUUUAUGAUGCUGUGGGUCAGGUCCCCCAGGACUUGUUCUCUCAAUCUGUUCAAACUGGUUUCUCAUAGCUUCUUCCUCCAGGUAUUGUCUCAAGGCCUCGAUAGAUUGGUUUAGAUUCCUCGUCUCUAACAAGAGGCGACUCUCUGAGCCUGCAGACAAAAGUAAGACCAAGGUAAGGCAUACCAGACACCUACAGAUAGACAUUGUAGUUGAAGUGAUUAAGUGACAACCUUG
rnacentral:lncRNA from 1 species